rnacentral:tRNA from 1 species
CAAAAUGUAGCUUAAUCAAAGCACCUCGCUUACACCGAGAGCAUACCCGUUUAACCCGGAUCAUUUUGA